UACAGAGGUGGCAAGCGUUGUUCGGAAUUACUGGGCGUAAAGGGCGCGUAGGCGGUCUUGUAAGUCUCGUGUGAAAUCCCUCGGCUUAACUGAGGAACUGCACGGGAUACUGCCUGACUUGAGUUCGGGAGAGGGAAGCGGAAUUCCGGGUGUAGCGGUGAAAUGCGUAGAUAUCCGGAGGAACACCGGUGGCGAAGGCGGCUUCCUGGACCGACACUGACGCUGAGGCGCGAAAGCUAGGGGAGCAAACGGG
rnacentral:rRNA from 1 species